UGUGUCUCUUCUGCUGUUCGCAGCCAAAAAUAUAAUAAAAUACCAAACCUCAGAAAUAGAUAACAAAACACAAAAUAAAUAAAAGUAAUGAACCAUUGACGUCACCUCUGAUCAUGGCCAUAAAACGGCAAACUCGAAAUGGCCACACAUCCAAGCCAUAAUUGGUCUGAGACAAGUCUUAAACGUCAUUAACGUAAAUGUAAAUAAAAAAAAAUAAAAAUAAAAGUUCAAUGCAAUAAAAUUGCAAAAAAAAAGAAAAUAAAACACACAUGAAAUAAAACCAAAUAUGUGCGAACAUCAUGUCCAGUUAGCAGCAAUCGUGUUAUCAUAAUUAUGGCCAAAAUAAAUAAAAUAACGGCAAAUGCAAACAUUUAUGCCAAAUACAAACAGGCUUUCAUAAAUUAAAAUCAGCAUAUGAUAGCAAAUUUAUUUAAACAAAUUGAAAAUGGAAAUUAAUACGAAAAAAUAAAAGUAAAUACUCGCAAAGGUUUGCCAUGCCAUGAUACGCCACAAAUAAUUUCCUUGACUUGCAAACAUGGAAAUGACGAAUUUUCCCCUACCAAAACAAAAAGUUGUUAAUGAAAACUAAAAACGCUUAAACCGCCAAGAUAUACCAAAGGAAGCCACACAACACCAAUUAGCAUGGAAACAAUGUUAAAAAAAAUUUUUUGGUUUUAAAUUUUAGUGAAAAAAAUUUGCGUGCAAUAAACAAAAACAAA